GCCUGGCCGUAAACUUUAAUUUACACCACCAUCGCCCGGGAACUACGAGCUAAGCUUAAAACCCAAAGGACUUGACGGUACCCCAAAUCCACCUAGAGGAGCCUGUCCUAUAAUCGAUAACCCCCGUUGAACCUCACCAUUUCUUGUUUAUCAGCCUGUAUACCUCCGUCGCCAGCUUACCGCGUGAGCGCCAUUAAGUGAGCUUAAUGCCCGUACGCCAACACGUCAGGUCAAGGUGCAGCUAAUGAAAUGGGAAGAGAUGGGCUACACUUUCUACUAUAGAAGAAACGAAAGACUACCUAUGAAACCUAGUCAGAAGGAGGAUUUAGUAGUAAAAAGAAAACAUAGUGUUCUUUUUAAUCCGGCACUGGGGUGUGUACACACCGCCCGUCACCCUCUUCAAGGCCCAAUUAAAGUUUAUAACUAAGCUUUGCCACAUAGAAGAGGCAAGUCGUAACAUGGUAAGUAUACCGGAAGGUGUGCUUGGAAA
rnacentral:rRNA from 1 species